UUCUCUCUUUCUCGCUCUCUCUCUUCCUCUCCCUCUUUCUGACCCUCUCUCCUUUCUGCUCCAGAUGGUCUCAAGUACAGAGGACACCCGAGGAAGAGACUGCUUCCAGGACUAGCAUGUGUGCUAUCGUGUCUAGGAUAGGUCUGGAUGUGUUUAGACUUAUAUGCAUGGACGUGUUUACACAGCCCGUUCUCUUAUGGAAUAUGCCAGGAGGUGCCGAUUCUGCAUGUACCAGAUUACGUUUGGACCUGGUGAAAUGUGAAAGCUAUACCGCAAUCGUAUGUACCUACGGGGGAAGGAUGGCCAGCCACACAAGAGAGUGAUUUUUUCUAAGGAGGAGAAGGAGGCUGUGCUGAUCGAGAUGCAUGCUGGCCAUUUCGGGAUUGAAGUGCUUGAUUGCCAAAAUCAACCUCCGCUUCUUCUGACAUGGAUUUGUCAAGAAGUACCCCGUCUAGCCUGCCAGAAGUUUGAGAGGGUGAAGACUGUGGCGUCGGAGUUGAAGCUCAUCAAAGUUGUUUCACCAUGGCACAUGAUCAGGAUGGACCUCAUCAAACCCUUCCCAAAAUCCAGGAAUGAAAACAGCUGGUGUCUGAGGGCGACCGAUCACUUUAUCAAAUGGGUGAAGGCAGUACCCAUUAAGGAUCUACGGGAUCGGUGUCCCUAUACUAGGACGGUUGUUGCUAACGUGCGCUAAUGUGACUAGAAUGACGUUGUAAGUAAACAGCAAAUUUUCCAGGACAUCGAAAGCUUAAAUGAUUGUUAAUCUAACUGCUCUGUCCAAUUUACAGUAGCUAUUACAGUGAAAUAAUACCAUGCUAUUGUUUGAGGAUGGUGCAAAACAACAACAACCACAAAUGUAUCACAACAACUGGUUUGAUACUUUCACAUCUGAAGGUACAUAAUGUUAUUUCAUUCAGUAAUCUUAUUCGGAUUUGUCAUCCCGAGGGUCCCAGACAUAAAGUGUAGGAUAGUUUUUGCUUCAUAAAAUCCAUUUUUAUAUUCAUGAUUUGAACCCCUGCUUUCUCUGGUCCCACACGCACCACGCCCGGCCAUCGAGAUGUGUGAAGGUUAGUGUUUUUCUCUGUAGGGAAGCUAAUGAUCCAUCAUGUGUACCAUUCCAGGGAGUACGUCAACUUAAUAUUUGUAUUACCAUAUAAUUUGUGUAUGUUCUCUGUUGUUAUGUACUUGAAAAUUUAUAAAUUCACCAAUUUGGCACAUUUGGGCAGACUUGCAAUACUUUACUGGAUCAGUCUGAAACUUUGCACACACACUGCUGCCAUUUGGUGGCAACAAUCUAAAUUGUGCCUAAAGUCCAAUAUGAUAUUAUGGCAUUUCUCUUGCAUUUCAAAAA
rnacentral:lncRNA from 1 species